rnacentral:sRNA from 1 species
GCCAGGUGUGGUGGCGCACACCUGUAUUCCAGCUACCUGGGAGGCUAAGGUAGAGAACCAUUU